ensembl:lncRNA
AUGGAGAUAUCUCUGAGGCACAAAUGCCACAGAUUUUUGCAAAGACAAAAAAAUAAAAAAAUACAGAACUCUACACAGGGGAAAGCUGUCAUUUGUGCUUUUGCUCUUCUCGCAGGUUCAUACGAGGAGCUGACUGUGAUUCAGAGCCCAUCUAGUAUCACUGUGAAUGAAGGACAAUCUGAUCAAAUCAGCUGCUGCUGGAAUAAAACAAAAGAAGAAAACAAUGAUUUUAAAGUAGCUUGGUAUAAGGAUAAGGAAAGAAUACCGGUAGAAAAGCGGCUAAAUCAAACGUCCCCUAUGAAAAACUGCUCCUUUCUGAAAAUCACAAAUAUAGGUAAAAAUGACACUGGAGAUUAUGUUUGUAAAGUGAUUCAGGACAUACCAGUUCUGCUAGAAUAUGAGGGACAAAAAACAUACCUGAAUGUCAGUAAAGGUGAACACAGUACUGAGGCAACAACUCAAAGGAAUGCUAAUACAACUGCACCAAAAACUCAAAGCAAUGGGAAUACCGGCCCCCCUUCAACUCCCAUCCUGCCUCUAUCUCUGGGCCUGGCUGCUGCCAUCGCCCUGCUGACCCUCUGCUUGGCCUUCAGUGUGUGCAAGAUGAGAAACUCCUGUAAAAAAUCAGAGCGAGUGGUCAUUCACCAGACGCCACACAGUGAGGGUGAGGAACAUGAGAACAUGGAAGAAGAGGAAGGUAGCACAGGCUCCUCUCGAGGAUCCCUACAAUGGUAUCAAGUGCCUGUUUACUGGUCUUACUUUGAUCUACGGAGGGGUGAAGACCAGUGACAACCAGAAAAGAAAGACAAUCGUGAUAUACUGUUCACUGCAUUGCAUUUAGCGUUCUCUCUCUUCUUUCAUGAGAACAUCUUUGUAAAUAGCAAAAGCAAUUUUAAUUUUCAGAUACAGUUUGAGCCCUUGAACUCUUGUUGGUGGUAACAGAUAUGAAUCCCUCUCUUUGUAGCAGCUAUGUUGAUAGGUUUAUUCUUAUUUUAAUUAUUAUUUUUAUAUGAGUCUUUUUUAAAUUAAAGUGAAGAAGUGUCAUACUGACAUGCAUGGUAAACUACUUGGAUUUCAUGCCCUGACAGAUGCAAUUCAAAUAUGUAUAAAAGUAGCACACACUGCCUGCCCUGAAGUUUUCUUUGUGUCUAACUGUGAAACGUUUUAUAGUAAAGACUUUUGUGCUGUACAGAUGCCGUCUAUGCCUUUCAGCCUUCUUAGAAAUGUUUCUCAGACUUCAUUCUGACACUUUCAUACUGUGGUUUUGUUUGCCAUUUACAAGUCUGUGAAAACCUUUGACUGUGGUACUUGUGUCAGUACAUGUGAGACAGAAGAAAGUGAGGUAGAUGCUGGGUUGCAGGGUGGAAACUGUGAUGGUAUUGACAGGUCAAUGGCAGGAAAUGGAAAGUGCAGUGCAUCUGGUUUUCUUUGACCUUAUUUUCAACACGAUGCACCUGUGUGUACUUCUGUUGACCAACAAACAAAAAAGCAAGUAAUACUGUAAAUAACAUUUAGACAUGUAGAAUAAAUACACCAGGUUAUUUCUUAUAUAGAAAAAU